CUUUGGCGUGUCUUUGCGUUUGAAAUUGCCUUUUCUGUUUUCAUUUUACGCUCUGCUGGCCAGCUCAACACGGAGAGGUCACCAGUUACGGACAUGGCCCAAAUGCGCUAUUGACUAACGCCAGUCACUCCAAGUGUGUAACACGUCUUCCUGUGACUACGACUACUACUCUCUUCAGUCACCAAAACGCCAACGGAUCAAGUUGCUCUACAAACAGGCCAAAGACAUGACUACGUACAUCAUCGAUACACGGUCAAACUUCUAAAAAUACACGCAGUUACUAAGACCAUGCGUACGCCUAACUUGGCCGGAAAAAAUUACAAGUGACACAUUAUGAUGGAUAACCAGAAGUAGUUGUUUGUUUGCCAAUAAACAAGUAUAUACAAG